CGGCUCAGCGUUUCAGUUCAGUUUAGUCGCUCGUAACGUUUGGCAGCAUUUUCCGUUUGCACACACUUUCUCUCUCUGGUUUCUGGUUCUGUGUUCUGUGCUCCUCCCUGUGUCGCCUUGUUUAAGCAGGGCCGGCCGUGUUCCGUGUAAAAAACGUUUGUUAAUUUAAUUGAUUUUCCCCAACAUUUAUUUAUGGAUAUUGGUUUUAAAUAGCAGCAAAGUCCAGACAUGCCUUACAAACAACCUCUUUGAUAGCAAGCCAGUAAAACUCAAUAGUGUUUCAUUUUCAUUUCAGGCAAAGUUUAGUGCGGUAAUCAUUAGGCUGAACACGUAACAUUCACUCAGGUAUCUAGGAAAUCUAUAGACAACAA